CUUGGACUGCGUAAGGCGCGUGAAGCACAUGCAGCAGCUGAAAGGCCCGCUCGCACGCCCGCUACGCCUGACAAGCAGGCCCCGCCCGCUCCGAUGCUAGGCGGCGAGCUGUCCCUCAUUCCCAUCGAGCAACUCAUACAAGUGGAAGACGUCAAGCCACGCCCCACGUAAACUUUUAUAUGUAUCUCUACCACAAACUAUGUAUGUAUUAAAAUUACCUAGUAUGUUCUGUUAAUCGAAGAAAAUAAUUUACUUACCUGUUCAAAGAAUAUUAAUAAACCAGGAAAACGUCAAACCACGUUCCAAAUAAAGUUUUGUAUCUGUCUUCUACCACAGACUGCGUAUGUAUAAUGCAGCCAUAUUAAAAAAAACCGAUGUUCUAUUAUACAGGGUGUCCCAAAAAGUAGUGUCAAGCCGAAGCCCAGAGCGGAGCAUCUCUAGGGCUACCCAUAUCACCGCGACUUUUGAUAGUUUUCGAGUUAUGUUUUUUUAAACAACAUACAGGAUUUUAGUUUACAUUCGUGUUAUGGAUUUAAAUACUUCUGAAUCAGUUAGGCCUAGUUUUCAUCUAAUAAUAAUUUAAAAAUCAGGCAUGCAACUUGACUAUUCGCGCCACAGCGUCCAAAAAAGUGUCUAAGCACAGAAAUUUAAAACAAUCAUAACUCGAAAACUAUCAAAAAUCGCGGAACAUACAUGGGGGUGAUUUGGAUAGCCCUAGUGACGAUCACCUCUAGGCUUCGGCUUGACACUACUUUUUGGGACUCCUGUAUAAAAUUCUUUGAAUUCUGUGGCUGAUUCUUGUCAACAGGAUCGUAUACGUGUUCGCUAAAAUGUAUGUCUUAUUUAAUUCUGGCAACCCCAGUAUAAAAAGUGGCAUGUGGCAAUUACUACACCACUGAAGGCAAUUACUAUACUGGUAAAACUGAAAUACAAACAAAAUCCAUAAAGAAAAUAGAACUGACGUCUAUUUAAGGCAUGAACUAAUCUUAGAUAGAGUAGAUUGUAAAAUGUACUAAACAUUUUUUAUUGUCGCUGUUGGUUGUAUUUGUAGCUAAACGUAAUGUACCAAAGAGUUUAUCUAUAUUUGUUUAACUUAGGUAAUAGCUUUUUUCUAGUUACGAAGAAGUUUUUAAGAAAUGAA